rnacentral:rRNA from 1 species
GACGAACGCUGGCGGCGUGCUUAACACAUGCAAGUCGAACGAGUGGCGAACGGGUGAGUAACACGUGGGUGAUCUGCCCCUUACUUUGGGAUAAGCCUGGGAAACUGGGUCUAAUACUGGAUAGUAAGGGAUGAGCUCGCGGCCUAUCAGCUUGUUGGUGGGGUAAUGGCUACCAAGGCGCGACGGGUAGCCGGCCUGAGAGGACGACCAGCCACACUGGGACUGAGACACGGCCCAGACUCCUACGGGAGGCAGCAGUGGGGAAUUUUGGACAAUGGGGGAAACCCUGAUCCAGCCAUCCCGCGUGUAUGAUGAAGGCCUUCGGGUUGUAAAGUACUUUUGGCAGAGAGACGGUAUCUGCAGAAUAAGCACCGGCUAACUACGUGCCAGCAGCCGCGGUAAUAC